GAUGAACGCUGGCGGCGUGCCUAAUACAUGCAAGUCGAGCGAAUGGAUUAAGAGCUUGCUCUUAUGAAGUUAGCGGCGGACGGGUGAGUAACACGUGGGGAACCUGCCCAUAAGACUGGGAUAACUCCGGGAAACCGGGGCUAAUACCGGAUAACAUUUUGAACCGCAUGGUUCGAAAUUGAAAGGCGGCUUCGGCAGACACUUAUGGAUGGACCCGCGUCGCAUUAGCUAGUUGGUGAGGUAACGUCUCACCAAGGCAACGAUGCGUAGCCGACCUGAGAGGGUGAUCGGCCACACGGGGACUGAGACACGGCCCAGACUCCUACGGGAGGCCGCAGUAGGGAAUCUUCCGCAAUGGACGAAAGUCUGACGGAGCAACGCCGCGUGAGUGAUGAAGGCUUUCGGGUCGUAAAACUCUGUUGUAGGGAAGAACAAGUGCUAGUUGAAUAAGCUGGCACCUUGACGGUACCUAACCAGAAAGCCACGGCUAACUACGUGCCAGCCGCCGCCGUAA
rnacentral:rRNA from 1 species